AUCCUACGGGGGGCAGCAGUGAGGAAUAUUGGUCAAUGGGCGAGAGCCUGAACCAGCCAAGUCGCGUGAGGGAAGACGGUCCUAUGGAUUGUAAACCUCUAUUGCCGGGGAGCAAAAAGCGGUACGGGUACCGCAUCGAGAGAAACCGGAGAAAAAGCAGCGGCUAACGCCGUGCGAGCAGCCGCGGUAAUACGGAGGAUGCGAGCGUUAUCCGGAUUUAUUGGGUUUAAAGGGUGCGCAG
rnacentral:rRNA from 1 species